UGCUUUGUUAAUGGAUGUGAUGGAUCAAUUCUACUUGAUGACACAUCUUCCUUCACCGGAGAGAAAACGGCAAUUCCAAAUCGUAAUUCAGCCAGAGGAUUUGAGGUGAUAGACAACAUAAAAUCUGCAGUUGAGAAGGCUUGCCCUGGAGUGGUCUCAUGUGCUGAUGUCUUAGCCGUUGCUGCUAGAGACUCCACUGUUAUUCUUGGAGGUCCAAAUUGGAAUGUUAAACUUGGAAGAAGAGAUGCUAGAACUGCAAGCCGCUCUGCUGCCAAUAAUGGCAUUCCACCUCCCACU
rnacentral:misc_RNA from 1 species